GAUGUAUUAGCAUGUCCUUAACAACAGCCACCCCCAAAAGCCCCAGCGCUCACGACAUACAAGUUUAUGAGAAGAUGGAAUUUUUUCACUAAGGCUGUUACUGUGGGCGUGGUGGGGAGCUGGGACAGGGCCCCUGAGGGGCCUGUGUGGAGCCACUGAGCUUCCUGGGUUGAGGUGACAGUGCUGGAUUGUCAUGUCCCAGGGCUGAGAGAGCAGUAUUAGGUCAGGAUGGUCAUUUAUGUCACGCUGUUUGCAGAGUGACUGCCACUUUGGAAGCAGCACAGUCACACUCAUCUUGUGCUUGACCUGUGCCUGCAGCCUCUCCUGCUUUGGGCACAAAGGUGUCAGGCCCCUACACCUGUGUCCUUUCCAGUUUCUCUCAAGAGCCUGGUGACAGGGAGGUUCCUGGUCUUCCCAAAACUCCAACAAAAACUUUGGUUUUUCCUGCAGCUUUCCAGCUUUUUUGUAUAUGUUUUGCCAUGGAGGUCUGUGUUUGUCUCUUGGUAGUUCUGCUUUGUGUGUGACCCUUUCCCCUUUGGGCUAGGACCUUUUCCCCUUUCCAUGAUGACUCCUCAGAGUCUUCCGGCCUCCUACCCACCUUAUGUUCAUAAUAAAUAAAAUAUUUGUGUUCCAUUUGUUCACUUUGGUGGGUUUUGUCCAUGAAGAGAACCUUCUGACAUCACUCAGAUCUUGGGUAGUAUCUGAGAUGGGGCAGUAGUAGGUGACAUUGGAGGUGUUGCUGUUUGAGGUGAUGCCAUUUCAUUGACUCUGAAUACCUUCCUGUUGUGUUGGGAUCUUCCCAUCUCUGUAGUGUUGCCUUCCUAGCACUGCUGAGUGCCAGCUUGGAAGAGCUUCCAUCUUCCAGAGCAGUGCUAGCAGUAGCAGAAAGGAUGAGAUCAAACCUUUUAUGGCUUUGAGGAUUUGCUCUGUUGUCUGAGUCCUUUCUGAUAGAAAUGUCAGUUCUUGUGACCCAAGAGUUUUGGGUCCAGAUGUCAGCUUGAUUUGAGUGAGUUUUAGAGCUCUAGAUCUGCACACUGACAGGAGGAUCCCAUCAACCAUCACUGCUUCUUAGAACAUUCGGUCACAUCCAUUUGAGGGAAGUGAUUUUCUUCUGGGUUCUUUCAUCUGUGGUCUCUGGCCUGUGCUGGAUCAUGAGCCUGGCUUAGCUUAUGUCUCUUGAUCUCUUUAGGGUUCAGGAAAUGAAGAUUUCUUUGGUUUCAUUGCUAUUUUAGGGAAAUAGGAUGUUGUGAUCGCAGCUUGAAUAUUAAAAUCUGUAGAUUCUCUGAAACUGGUGGGGUUUUGUAUUUAUGGCUUCUGGCCAUUAGUCUUAGAAGAUGCUUUUAGGGAGCAUGGUAGUGCAGUGCCUCCUGCAAUGGCACCUUGCUGGUGGCAUCUUGACAGGUAUCAUCACUUAAACUUGUGUAGGCAGCACAAAAUCUUGCAGCCUGCCUGUUUGUCUUUCAUGUGAGUGCAUCAAUCAUUUAGGAAUUUAAAUCCGUGCCUGUUCCUAGUGGAUUUGUCUCAAAUAAAGUGUAAGUAAAUGCCAGUUAAUGUCACUGCUCCACAACAUUAUGAAAUGCCUAAGUGACUGUUGCGUUUAUUUCAUCUGCAGAAUGUUCAGAAUGAUGCAUCUUGGAACAGUUUCUCUCUCCUUAAUGGGCAGUUUGGAAAAAUUAAUGAUCUGUUCCAGAGUAGCUGGGAUUUCUUUUUGUUCUGCAUUCUCAAGAGAAGCAUCCAACACACGACAGGAAGAACAGAGUUAAAAAGAAGAAAGAUUUGCCACUAAAGUCAAAGAUCUUGGAUAUUUAUUGCUUAGCACGGACCAACCCUCCUAACUGGUAUUCAAGGACAGAGGUGUAGAAACAGCUGAGAUCAGCUCUGGCAGUUCAUCACAUUUCUUUUAGUGGACUGAAGCAGUAGCUCAGAUGGUGAAGGAUAGACACUGUGAUGGGCACUAAAGCAUGGACUUGCAGUGUGCACUGGUGGCAGGUACUCCUACCUGGUCCUGGUGGUCUGACAUAUCUGGGGAAGGCUUAGGUGCUUGUGUGUCUUCACUGUGGUUUUCUCCAUUUAUUAUUUCAGUGCUGAUGGAAAUGUUUGUCUUUAUUUAUAGCAUAUCCAAGAGCUGUGUUGCAACAGAGAAGGUAAGUUUACAGGUGGGGGCUAGGGGUGGAAUGAGUUGACAACCAAGCUCCGGAUAGUUAAUCUGUUCUGGGUUUUUUUCUGUUAUAAUCCCUAAAGUUUUAUAGGCAGCUCUCAGAUUGAUCAGACAGCUGCUGAAACCAUUACAAAACCAAUUUGAGAAUUGGAUUUUUAACCAUUCCUGAAGUAUUUAUUUAUCCUUCAAGAUAUAGACCCAGAUGCAAAGUCACCAGUCUGUUCAGUGAGAUGUUUGUCUUGUUCAUUUUGCUGAUUGAGAAUUAAUGCAGCACUUGUUGCUAGAAAUUAUUGAGCUGGUUGUGCUCACUUUUCUCUGCUGUGAGCUCAGGCUCUCCUCUCUGUGAUGGGGGACUGCUGGCUGCUGUGCUAUAAAGACAAGAAUUCCUGGGUUUAGUCAAGUUUAGGUCUGUUUGUUCUGAAGCCUAAUAAAAGCAUUAGCUAAUAUAUAUCUGGAUUCUCUGAUUUGGGUUCUAAAGGACUUGCCUGCAAAUGCACAUGGGUUACCUUGCUUUGACAGGUAAUUAAGUCUGGAUUUCUUCCUUAGAUAACCAAAGAAACAGUUUCAGAUAUGCUUUGCUAGGCAGAUCCAUGUGUAGACAGCAAGGUUUUAUUAUCCAUGGGGAAAAAUGCACUCCAAGGGCAUGAAAUCCAGAUUACCUGAAUGAAAUAUCUUAAUGCCCCAACCUGGAGAAUGAUGUAUAAGAUCCAGAAUAUGACUUUUGUUUUAACCAUCAUUAAAGUUGUGUGUACAAUCUGUACUUCUGCAGGAAUGUGAAGCAUCCCAGGGAUUGGCUGGCUGCCUGAAGAACCCUGGCACCUGCCUGUCGUGCCAGGGACCUGAGCAGUGACGUGCCCACAGCAGCAGUUCAGGUGGGUGUGUUACCCGUGUUUGAAGGCUUUUCUAGUUCUCUGCAUUGUACCAGAAACUGCACGUGCCUUGUACAGUCUGUUUGCUCCUCUUGUAAUGCCCAGUUUUCCUAAUAAACAUCUUUAGAAGUC